rnacentral:rRNA from 1 species
UGUUGUGGUUAAAAAGCUCGUAGUUGGAUCUCGGCGGACUGAGGGCGGUUUGCUUGCUAGUAUUACUGCCCUAUAGUCCGUAGUUUUGCCAGAGGUUUCGGGGUGCUCUUAAUCGAGUGUCCCGGGAUGCUGGCAGGUUUACUUUGAAAAAAUUAGAGUGCUCAAAGCAGGCUAUUACGCCUGAAUAUUCGUGCAUGGAAUAAUAGAAUAGGAAGUCGUUUCUAUUUUGUUGGUUUUCGGAAAUCGACUUAAUGAUUAAUAGGGACAGUCGGGGGCAUUUGUAUUCAAACGACAGAGGUGAAAUUCUUGGACCGUUUGAAGACAAACUACUGCGAAAGCAUUUGCCAAGAAUGUUUUCAUUAAUCAAGAACGAAAGUUAAAGGUUCGAAGGCGAUUAGAUACCGCCCUAGUUUUAACCAUAAACGAUGCCAGCUAGCGAUCUGCGGACGUUUUUUUUGUAGACUCCGCAGGAAGCUUCCGGGAAACCAAAGCAUUUGGGUUCCAGGGGAAGUAUGGUUGCAAAGCUGAAACUUAAAGGAAUUGACGGAAGGGCACCACCAGGAGUGGAGCCUGUGGCUUAAUUUGACUCAACACGGGAAAUCUCACCAGGCCCGGACACUGGAAGGAUUGA